AAUCAACGCUGGCGGCGUGCCUCAGACAUGCAAGUCGAACGAGAAGUCCCCUUCGGGGGAGUGGAUAGUGGCGCACGGGUGAGUAACACGUGGGUAAUUUACCUUUGGGUGGGGAACAACAGCCGGAAACGGCUGCUAAUACCGCAUAAUGCAGCGGCUCCUCAUGGAGACAGUUGUUAAAGCGGGGGAUCGCAAGACCUCGCGCCUGAAGAGAAGCCCGCGGCAGANAGUCUAGUUGGUAAGGUAAUGGCUUACCAAGGCGACGAUCUGUAACCGGCCUGAGAGGGCGGUCGGUCACACUGACACUGACAUACGGGUCAGACUCCUACGGGAGGCAGCAGUCGGGAA
rnacentral:rRNA from 1 species